AUACGGAGGGUGCAAGCGUUACUCGGAAUCACUGGGCGUAAAGCGCGCGCAGGCGGCUAUUUAAGUUGGAUGUGAAAGCCUACGGCUCAACCGUAGAACUGCAUCCAAAACUAUUUAGCUAGAGUGUGGGAGAGGAAGAUGGAAUUAGUUGUGUAGGGGUAAAAUCCGUAGAGAUAACUAGGAAUACCAAAAGCGAAGGCAAUCCUCUGGAACACUACUGACGCUGAGGCGCGAAAGCGUGGGGAGCAAACAGGAUUAGAUACCCUAGUAGUCC
rnacentral:rRNA from 1 species